rnacentral:rRNA from 1 species
ACGCUCGACACCUACGGAAGGCAGCAGUCGGGAAUAUUGCGCAAUGGAGGAAACUCUGACGCAGUGACGCCGCGUAUAGGAAGAAGGUUUUCGGAUUGUAAACUAUUGUCGUUAGGGAAGAAAAAGGACAGUACCUAAGGAGGAAGCUCCGGCUAACUACGUGCCAACAGCCGCGGUAAUCUGAGCGGGCUGGCAAGGC